rnacentral:lncRNA from 1 species
CUUAAGAUUUCUUUGACAACGGUGCUUAUUUAGUUUGUAACAGCUACCAGAAAGGAUCCCCACAUCGGCUGCAGGUCAUGUAUGCACAGGAAUGGGGAACAGCGGAGUCCGAUUACUCUCCACACCGGGGCAGACAGAUGCCAAGUUGGUCCCACACAAGAUGGCUCCGUGCUCCCGGUCUUCCUGCCCCAUCACCGCAGGGCUCAGGCCCAGCACAGUCAGGAAAGACCAGCAGGUAAGCAGGCCGUGGGGACCUGCGGGCCAAUUUUCAGCACGGGCAGAGGGGAGCUUGGAGAAGGACAUGGCAGUCCGGGAAGGUGAGUGCAAAUUGCAUGGUGGUGGUGGUGGGGAUAA